AAGGUUUUAAGUUAAUUAAACUAAUAAUCUUCAAAAUUAUAAAUAAAGUAUAUAUUCUUUAAGCCUUA
rnacentral:tRNA from 1 species